UGGAACCAUUCUUUCAGGAACACAACAAGUGCAAGUGCUAAGUUUUAUAAACGUAACGGAGUUCAGUUGCAACACCUACAAAUACGGACUCUUCCUUUUAUAAAUAAAAACUACCCUCCGAUUAAACUGCAAGUGGAAAACAGAAUGAAAAACAUUUUUGUAACGCAAUUUGAGUAAACUAGAGAUGAAAAUGCCAAUCACACACCUGUUAUAAGAGGCCGCUAGCAGAGUCCUGGAGACAGGAAUGAACUCAUUACAGAGGACCUCCACCUGCUUGAAGAAGCAGGUGGAGGUGGAUGAAGUGGAUUGUCAGCUGGCACAGAAACAGCAGGAAUUCAAAGCCCUUGCACAGAGGAGGGCAGGGCU